UACGAGGGGAGCAAGCGUUGUUCGGAUUUACUGGGCGUAAAGGGCGCGUAGGCGGUCGUGACAAGUCACUUGUGAAAUCUCCGGGCUUAACUCGGAACGGUCAAGUGAUACUGUCGGACUAGAGUACAGAAGGGGCAACUGGAAUUCUCGGUGUAGCGGUGAAAUGCGUAGAUAUCGAGAGGAACACCAGCGGCGAAGGCGGCGUCCUGGACUGGUACUGACGCUCAGGAGCGAAAGCGUGGGGAGCGAUCCGG
rnacentral:rRNA from 1 species